CCGAGUCUGACCCAUAUUUCACCCUAUGUUUUUAUAAAUAUACACACGGAAAAUGAAACAUCAGAACAUGAACCGCACCUAUAAGCCCCCCAAAAAAUGGGUGGUUAAUUACAAGUAACAAAAUAAUUGAAGUCAUUAUACUCCCUCCGUUCCUUAAUAUAGGUGAUUUUAAACAUAUGCACAAGAAUUAAGAAAAUGAUUAAAAAG
rnacentral:lncRNA from 1 species